rnacentral:rRNA from 1 species
CCUACGGGCGGCAGCAGUGAGGAAUAUUGGUCAAUGGCCGCGAGUCUGAACCAGCCAAGUAGCGUGAAGGAUGACUGCCCUAUGGGUUGUAAACUUCUUUUAUCUGGGAAUAAAAUGUUCCACGUGUGGGAUUUUGUAUGUACCAUAUGAAUAAGGAUCGGCUAACUCCGUGCCAGCAGCCGCGGUAAUACGGAGGAUGCGAGCGUUAUCCGGAUUUAUUGGGUUUAAAGGGAGCGUAGGUGGAUUGUUAAGUCAGUGGUGAAAGUUUGCGGCUCAACCGUAAAAUUGCAGUUGAAACUGGCAGUCUUGAGUACAGUAGAGGUGGGCGGAAUUCGUGGUGUAGCGGUGAAAUGCUUAGAUAUCACGAAGAACUCCGAUUGCGAAGGCAGCUUACUGGAGUGCAACUGACACUGAGGCACGAAAGUGUGGGUAUCAAACAGGAUUAGAUACCCGAGUAGUC